rnacentral:rRNA from 2 species
AAACCAACAGGGAUUGCCUUAGUAGCGGCGAGUGAACAGGCAAGAGCUCAGAUUUGAAAGCCCUCGGGCAUUGUAUUCUGAAGCCUUGGUCCUGAGAAACUAGUGUUCAAGUCUUCUGGAAAGGAGCGCCAUGGAGGGUGAUAGCCCCGUACAGCACUAAUCUCAUUGUAGGGCCUUGGCAUGGAGUCGAGUUGUUUGGGAAUGCAGCUCAAAUGGGUGGUAUGCUCCAUCUAAAGCUAAAUAUCUGCGAGAGACCGAUAGCGAACAAGUACUGUGAAGGAAAGAUGAAAAGAACUUUGAAAAGAGAGUGAAAAAGUACGUGAAAUUGUUGAAAUGGAAGGGUAGGCCGCUAACCACGUAGAGUCGUGUCUGGGGGGAAGAUAAAAGCUGAAGAAUGUAGCUCCUUUGGAGCAUUAUAGCUUCAGUCCAUAUUCCCACCCGGGCGCGAGGACCUAAGACUCUGCUAAAUGGUGGUCUACCAC